ensembl:lncRNA
UUUGCCUCCAGAGCACAUUUUCAUAUUGGUGUUCAUAGAAAUAUUGCUGAAAGCCAUUUGUGGACUCAGUGUUGCUCCUGUUGUUUUCCUAUAUGGUAGGCUGAGACAUUGCAGCUCUCUUAGGCUGUUGAGGACUAGAAGAUGGCCGUGGGCUGGGCAGGUCUUCAGCAGUGACUCUGGGGGAGUAGCCCCUACAGGUGAAUCUGUGGCAAGGUAGAAGGUCCAUGGUUCUCAUAAGGAAGUGAAGGAGUUGCAAAAUGGGAGCUUCUGCAGAAAAGUGUCUUCUGGCACUAGCUGUGCCCCAUUCCUACCAUCAAUAAGCCUUGGGUGAAAAGAGGGAGGUGCUCCAGGGGGACUUGGGAAAGCAGACUGGAUGUGACAGUGAAAAAUAAGGCUAUUGGAGGCACACAGCCAUGAGCCAGGAAUGGCUGAGCCCUGAGUCCCACAGGGACUCCCUCCAUAGGUCCGCCUACAGGAGCACCAGGCUCCCACGGGUUCACUUUCAGCUGCUGAGAGCCAUUCUAUCCUUAGCACUGCCCUCCCCAGAGCUGCCACAAAUGUGUUCUGCACUGUGAGUCCAGAGAUCCACAGCUGCAGCUCUGGAGUGGGAGCUUUCCUUGGCAGCUCUGGGUGAGACGUGGGCGAGGGCACCAGUGGAAGGAGCCCCGUUACGCCCUGACCCGUGUGAGCACACGUCUGUUUCUGCGCAGCCUCCCUCGCAGACCCGCCGAAAUCUGGGUUAUAUAAUGCCACUGCUGCCUCGAAACAGGGAGGUUAAAAUGAGGUCGUCCAAGAUGGGAGCUGCCUGCAGCCUGCAGCCGCCUCGGGAGGACUGCCUGCGCCGAGCCCUGCGCGCAGAGGAGCACUGCAACAUAAACAUACAGAAACAUAGGUCAGGAUGCUGGAAGUCUCCGGAGCGCUCAUGGUGUGGAAUCAGGCCCAUUUCUUUAUUUGCAACUCCCUGUUUAUGUGACGAACUGUGCUGAGCAGGCAGCGUGACGGGCUGCGGUCACAGGGCACUGCAGAGCUGCGGGGUGCCAGAUCCACACAGCGCAGAGCUCUGUGCCACAGCCAGCCCCAGGUGUUACCCUUUUUAAGCAUGUUUUAAGGGUGCAAGGUCUACAUUAUUCCUUCCAUCAUUGCUUUAUUUGCAGUAUGCCAGGGAAAGGCCAUCGCUCCAAGGGGAUCCACGUAAGAAAGUAUAGGACUGUAAUAGAAAAAGCAAGAAUUCUAUUGCAUUAAAGCAGAUAUUCUUUUUCCAGAACACUAAUGCAAUUCCUCCAGAACAAAGAGUGGAAGCUUCCUCCUGUAAAUGCAUUUCACAGAGACCACAAGGUGGGAAACGUGGGGCUGUUUGAGGGGAGCUGCUUGGGAUGAGCACAUCAGUGAGUUCAGCACUGGGCAUUGGGUGAUUCCAUGACUGGAGGGCCACUAAAACCAACACGCUGCUGCAAACAAAGAGACAAAAGUCACAUUACCAGGAGCACAUGAGUUUGAGGAAGACCUACUCCCUCCUAACAGCAUGUGAAAACACCUGAUUUCCCAUUGUCAUGGUAAGCCUUUCCUUCAAAGCACUCCUAAUUUGUUUCCUGAUCCUCCAGCUUCUUGGUUGGUGCCAGAACAGAGCAGUGAGGGCUGGAGAGUUGUUGGCAGGACAGCAGCUGGGGAACAGUCUUUGUCUUUGACAGCAAGCGAUGGACAGUGCUUCUGUCCCACUGGGGGGAAUUUCUGCAUCACCAUCACUAAACUGGAUACAUGUGGGAUGAUUGCUGACCACAGAAAGAAGCCGAAGAUGAACCACCUACCUGCUGAAGGCAGAGGAUCAGCGCUGCUCCAGCCUUGCUCCUUGUUGGUACACAAGUUAGGCAAGUUACUUCGGGUAGAGAUCCCAGUGGGGGAUGGAGCCCUGUGUUAUCCUCCAAAGGGUCCCAGUUUGUGCAGGCAAUAUAACUGCACAUCAGUCUUUGCUGCUCCACAGCAGCACUCCCUUUGGGUUACUUCUCUGCUGAUUUUCAGAGGGAGCAGUUGGGCUGAGAACCCAGAGGGGCAGCCUGGCCAAUGCAGUGUUGCAAACUCUGCCCCAUCCUGGCAGAGCAAUGCAAAGGCAGGGAGUUACCCCGAGUAAAACCCUUGCUCAGAUGGACCAUGAACGCAGCCACAGGAUAAGGUAGCAACCCAUAACGUAGGUAAGAAGCAUUUUGCAAAGGGGCAGUGCGUAAAAACAAGCCUGAGCAAAAGGAAAGUUAAGCCUCUUAAAUAUUAAAGUUCCAAAAUUAAACCCUUGUUUAUAUAACAGUUGGGUCACUGCUGCAGAACACGGGAGUUCACAGCAUUGCACCAAAAAAGGCUCUCGUGGAGCCAACAGCUGCUCCCCAGGGGCUCAGAGCAGGUGGGGAGCAGAGCUGCAGCCAGGAGGAUGCUCGUAGGGUUCAGCUGCCCUGACACGAAGUCUGCAGUCACCCCAUAAAGCAGUGCAACCCUUCGGGAUGUGCCUUGGAAGUUGGUGUAGGGGGAUGUCCGGCCCAUUCCUGCCUGCCCCCCUGCUUCGGUUUGGCUCAUCGCAGGUGAUAGCACAGCAACACAAGGCAAAUGCAUGCACAAAACAUAGAGAAUAACUUCAUGAAGUUUCUCUGCUGCUCAGUUAUCUUCAAAAAGCCAUCUAGAAAGGCCCGCAGAUACACCCCUACUUAUUAUUUUGUAAGAAAAGAGCACAAAAGAACUUAAUCCAAAGUAAAUAUUUAACCAAACAGCAAUUAACUAACAAUGAUGGAUUGUAAACAGCGCUGCUCCGAGGCUGAGCUGCAGCUCUCCUCUGUUUCUCUGGGCUACGGCUGCCCUAAGGGGGAAGGCAAGUUUACCGAGUCAGAUUUGUCUCUGCCACCUCGCUAUUAAAAGGCUCUACAAACAGAAACGGCAUCGGAUGAUCUGAGAGCGAGGAAAACAAUAAAGAACACAGCAAUGCAGGGCACGGGAGUUGUAAGGCUUUAUGGAGCAACUGUCCUUGGGAAGGAGGGCUGAGCAAACACGAAGCUGUAAAGGAACUGCUUCCCAUCCGGGCAGCUUGUGUGAUACAUCCCAUGGGGCAGCAGUCCCACUUACCCACGAGGAAGUAGUGAUAAUAACAAUAAUAAUAAUAAUGUAUUUUAAUAUUUUAAUACUUAAUACUUAUUAAAUUAUUAUUAUGUCCCAUUUGUUAUUGUUAUGCUCCAUUAUCAUUAUGUUCCCUUCGGGAAGAUGUCCCCCCCACGGAUCACUACUUCCAUAAUAAUAAUAAUAAUAAUAAUACCACCACCACAAAUUCUAGUAAGUAUUAUCUCUUAUUUCCCACCCCCAGGUGCCUCCGGCAGCUGCAGCAGCCCGGCCAGGCUCUGUCCGUGCCCCCACCUGCACCAUGGCCCAGGGAAAGGGGUGGUUAUGGGGCGGGGUGGUGCACGGGGGACGCUCCCAUCCCGGCCCCUCUCCGCUCUGUCCCCGCGGCUCCCGGCGCGUCCCCC